AUUGAACGCUGGCGGCAGGCCUAACACAUGCAAGUCGAGCGGAUGAAGGGAGCUUGCUCCUGGAUUCAGCGGCGGACGGGUGAGUAAUGCCUAGGAAUCUGCCUGGUAGUGGGGGAUAACGUCCGGAAACGGGCGCUAAUACCGCAUACGUCCUGAGGGAGAAAGUGGGGGAUCUUCUGACCUCACACUAUCAGAUGAGCCUAGGUCGGAUUAGCUAGUUGGUGGGGUAAAGGCCUACCAAGGCGACGAUCCGUAACUGGUCUGAGAGGAUGAUCAGUCACACUGGAACUGAGACACGGUCCAGACUCCUACGGGAGGCAGCAGUGGGGAAUAUUGGACAAUGGGCGAAAGCCUGAUCCAGCCAUGCCGCGUGUGUGAAGAAGGUCUUCGGAUUGUAAAGCACUUUAAGUUGGGAGGAAGGGCAGUAAGUUAAUACCUUGCUGUUUUGACGUUACCAACAGAAUAAGCACCGGCUAACUUCGUG
rnacentral:rRNA from 1 species